CGGCACGGGUGAGUAACACGUAUCCAACCUGCCGUCUACUCUUGGACAGCCUUCUGAAAGGAAGAUUAAUACAAGAUGGCAUCAUGAGUUCACAUGUUCACAUGAUUAAAGGUAUUCCGGUAGACGAUGGGGAUGCGUUCCAUAGAUAGUAGGCGGGGUAACGGCCCACCUAGUCUUCGAUGGAUAGGGGUUCUGAGAGGAAGGUCCCCCACAUUGGAACUGAGACACGGUCCAA
rnacentral:rRNA from 1 species